rnacentral:snRNA from 1 species
GUACUUUCUACGGCAGCACAUAGACUAAUAUUGAAAUAAUGCAGAGAAGUUUAGCCUGACCCUUGUACAAGGAUGACAUGCAAAUUCAUGAAAUCUUCCAUUUUCUU